AUCUAUCUUCGGGGCAGGGUGAAAUUCCCGAUCGGCGGUAUUUGAGUGAAACUCAUAAGCCCGCGAGCCGUUUUGGCAGGAUUUGGUGUGAUUCCAAAGCCGACAGUAUAGUCUGGAUGGGAGAAGAUGGAG
rnacentral:ncRNA from 2 species